rnacentral:rRNA from 1 species
UACGUAGGGUGCAAGCGUUAAUCGGAAUUACUGGGCGUAAAGCGUGCGCAGGCGGCUAUGCAAGACAGGUGUGAAAUCCCCGGGCUUAACCUGGGAACUGCACUUGUGACUGCAUGGCUAGAGUGCGUCAGAGGGAGGUGGAAUUCCGCGUGUAGCAGUGAAAUGCGUAGAUAUGCGGAGGAACACCGAUGGCGAAGGCAAUCCCCUGGGCCUGCACUGACGCUCAUGCACGAAAGCGUGGGGAGCAAACAGG